AACCUGGGAACUGCAUUCGAAACUGGCAGGCUAGAGUCCUUGUAGAGGGGGGUAGAAUUCCAGGUGUAGCGGUGAAAUGCGUAGAGAUCUGGAGGAAUACCGGUGGCGAAGGCGGCCCCCUGGACAAAGACUGACGCUCAGGUGCGAAAGCGUGGGGAGCAAACAGGAUUAGAUACCCUGGUAGUCCACGCCGUAAACGAUGUCGACUUGGAGGUUGUGCCCUUGAGGCGUGGCUUCCGGAGCUAACGCGUUAAGUCGACCGCCUGGGGAGUACGGCCGCAAGGUUAAAACUCAAAUGAAUUGACGGGGGCCCGCACAAGCGGUGGAGCAUGUGGUUUAAUUCGAUGCAACGCGAAGAACCUUACCUACUCUUGACAUCCAGAGAACUUUCCAGAGAUGCUUUGGUGCCUUCGGGAACUCUGAGACAGGUGCUGCAUGGCUGU
rnacentral:rRNA from 1 species